ACCUGGAAAUAUUGAGCAAGGGAAAGCCUGAGACCCAGGCCUUCUCCCACCAUUCCCUAUCCCCUGGCCCAGGCAGUUCCACUGGGAGAGGCUGGUUCCCUCCGGGAUUGGAAGGCCUGGGAUGUGCCCCUUCCCCCCGCCCUGGGAUACGUCAGCAGUGAUUUCUUCUGGACUCAGCAGGAGCAAGGAAGAGCUGGAGUUCUGGCUGCUGGACUAGGAAGCACCCCUCCUUCUCAGCUCUUCAUAGAGCAGACAGGAAUAAUGGCUCUCUGAAGCGCCCCCAGCCUCUGUGUUUGCAUUUGGCAUGUUGGAUUCCUGGUUCAGUGUGAUUCCUAUUGGCUGUGCCAAGCAAUGAACCCAGAUGUGGGAACUGCCCCUUGUACAAAACCACGAGGAAGCAGAGAAGAAUCUCAGAGCAGAGGGCCUGGCUGGAACCGUCUUCACCUCCCUGGAGGAACAAAGCACAGAGAGGACCUUUCUCAGGAAGAGGGAAAUGGCUUUGUAACUCCACCCAGCAUGAUAGCCAGCCUGGUAUCAGUGGCGGCUUCCUGGUGAAAAUGUAAAAGACACUGAAAAGAGGAUCUCUCUCCUGCUACUCUUCCAACCCCCCGUGGACAGAGACAUACAGAGGAGGCUGUCCCAAAGCCAAGCAUGACGUCAUGGGAUUCUAGGGAGAGAAGUUCAUGAGCUUGAGGGUUGUGGACAGUAAGAAGGACACAGAGGUUGCCAGUUACUAUGCCAGACUGGGGAGGGGGCUGUGUUCCCCCACUCAGGGGGCAUGAGCCCACCUCAGAGGGUGCAGGAUUUCCUGAAAGCUCCUUUUCAUUCUGAAUCUCAGGACACUGAAGCAUCGCCUGAGGCUCUGACAAGGUGGCAUUUGGGACUGUUGAAUGUUUCCACCUCCUUGAAAACCGGUUUCCUAUGGUGUGCCAAGAGUGAGUGACAGAGCAUCAUACAACGUUACCAUUUUCCAGCUUGCCCUGCUGUGUAGAAGGCUGGGAAGCUCUAUCUCAGAGGCGCCCCGAGAAGAGGCUGAGGUUGUGCUGUCUGAGGCUUCCAGGCAACUGGAGUUCAGGAUGACAGAAGGGACCGGAACAGCUGCUACUGCCUCGACAGCUUGGCAGGCACCAGACACCAACAGGCCCGUUCCCUGUUGGUCUGCUCUGAUCCCCGGUGGGUGGGAGUGAGGCCUGGUUGUCCGCGGUGGGCUCCCUGCCCUGGAGCUGGCUAUUGAAAGCCCAUAACGUGCAGACAGUCUCCUGUGAGAAGCUUGUUUUAUGCAAGCUUCAGCUCCCCCAACCUACUGGCUGUGUGAUCCUGGGCACGUAACCUCUCUGGGCCCCAUUUUUUC